AAAAUGCCGAGCUUGCUUUGUUUGAACUAAACAGAGUAAUUAAUCUGGCACCAGAUCAUCCUGAAGUGUUUGAACAACGAGCAGAGAUACUGUCAUCUUUGGGUCGAAUUAGUGAAGCACUGACUGAUAUCACUAAAGCUAUUCAGCUGAAACGCUCAGCGCAGCUUUAUCGACACAGAGGUAUUCUUUACUUCAUAUCUGAGGACUAUGUAACAGCCAAUGAGGAUUUUCAAAACUCUCUUGAGUUGAACAAAAACCAACCUGUUGUUAUGCUUUACAA